AUAUGGGCCAGUGAUAGACAGGUGUAUAUAAUAUGGGCCAGUGAUAGACAGGUGCAUAUAAUAUGGCCCAGUGAUAGACAGGUGUAUAUAAUAUGGGCCAGUGAUAGACAGGUGUAUAUAAUAUGGGAUACUGCAGACAGGUGUAUAUAAUAUGGGCCAGUGAUAGACAGGUGUAUAUAAUAUGGGAUACUGCAGACAGGUGUAUAUAAUAUGGGCCAGUGAUAGACAGGUGUAUAUAAUAUGGGGUAGUGCAGACGGGUGUAUAUAAUAUGGGCCAGUGAUAGACAGGUGUAUAUAAUAUGGGCCAGUGAUAGACAGGUGUAUAUAAUAUGGGCCAGUGAUAGACAGGUGUAUAUAAUAUGGGGUAGUGCAGACGGGUGUAUAUAAUAUGGGCCAGUGAUAGACAGGUGUAUAUAAUAUGGGCCAGUGAUAGACAGGUGCAUAUAAUAUGGGCCAGUGAUAGACAGGUGUAUAUAAUAUGGGCCAGUGAUAGACAGGUGUA